rnacentral:tRNA from 1 species
GGGGACGUAGCUCAGCGGGAGAGCACAUGACUGAAGCUCAUGGUGUCCGGGGUUCGACUCCCUGCGUCCCCA